rnacentral:snoRNA from 1 species
AAUCCAUGCAUCAGAUAUUUCCUAAUUAACUCCUUAAAUAGCUCCCAUGCUUCAUAUAAUGUUUCAUCUUCAAAUUGUCAAAAUGAUGUAAUAUCAUUUAUCAACUU